rnacentral:rRNA from 1 species
AGAAUCAACGCUGGCGGCGUGCCUAACACAUGCAAGUCGAACGAGAAAGUGGAGCAAUCCAUGAGUAAAGUGGCGCACGGGUGAGUAACACGUGGCUAACCUACCCUUGAGUGGGGGAUAACCUAGAGAAAUCUGGGCUAAUACCGCAUAAUACCUUCGGGUCAAAGGAGCAAUUCGCUUAAGGAGGGGGUCGCGGCCGAUUAGUUAGUUGGCGGGGUAAUGGCCCACCAAGACUAUGAUCGGUAUCCGGCCUGAGAGGGCGCACGGACACACUGGAACUGAAACACGGUCCAGACUCCUACGGGAGGCAGCAGUGGGAAUUUUGCGCAAUGGGGGAAACCCUGACGCAGCAACGCCGCGUGGAGGAUGAAGUCCCUUGGGACGUAAACUCCUUUCGAUCGGGACGAUAAUGACGGUACCGAGAGAAGAAGCCCCGGCUAACUUCGCGCUAGCAGCCGC